GCCAUGUUUGCAGCCUUCAAUCUCCACUCAUAAGCAAUCUCAUGUGGAACUAAAGUAUUAAGAUCAUACUACCACAUGCAAAGAACAAUAUUAGAUAGAAAUCAUAGCUAAAAACACACUAGAACCAAGCUAAAAUCAUCCUCAAAUACACGGGUUUGAACUGAUUUUGCAAAUCUGGGUUUGAACCCAAGUCAAACAAAC
rnacentral:lncRNA from 1 species